CAACUGCCACCAUUACCAAACCGAUCCCGUGUAGAUUAGUGGUGCGAAAGUGGGUGAGGCGGACGAGUGGGAGGAGGGAGUGCAAGGAGGCAGCGACUAAGUGACAAGGGAAGGCAGUCAGCACUUCUGGUCGUCCGUGAUAGUUCUCAAAGACGGGAGAUCAACGGGAGGAAGCUCCACGCCGAGCAACACCCAGCAUACAACAUCGACUCUAUCCAAGGAAUGAGCAUGGAACUGCUGCGUUCUUGAAGAACGUCAACCAACCCUGACGUUGUUCAUGACACCAACAAACUCUCUCAACACAAAAAUUUGCUCGAGAGUGGCAACAUAGAAACAGGUGACCAGGAGCUGCAGUGUGAAAGGAACAAGCAAGCCCAAAAUGUCUCUGGCUGGCCAAGGAUCUGAACCAGGUUCAUGUGGUAUGACGCUUCGGACCAUCACAAAAUUCGGACAUUCGUAUUAAUUCAACACCGUAGCGUUAUGAGCUCAGGACAGUGACAGAGGGAGCAGCAUUAUGUACACUUGUCCUGGAAACGCAGAAUGACGGGAACAGAUGAGCAGGAAGCAAGCAAUGGGUGGAGGUAUGUGGCGUGCGGGCCUGCGUGUGGGCCGAGGCAGGACAGGCCCCGCUGUUCUGCCCAUCUGGUUCCAUCAUGACCGCCACAACUCACGCCCCUCGCCUCAGAUGACCACGGUCGCUGCUGCUAAUUGGAUGAUUCUAUUCUAACUGAAAGCCUCAAACAAUAAAAUGUUCUCAUAUU